rnacentral:lncRNA from 1 species
AGACUUUCAAAGAUGAAAACUUUCCAGAACCCUAAAACAAAAAGAAUUCAAUUUCGACAGCCGCCGGUUUUCUCUGUCGGAAGAAAGAUGCAUCCUUCAAAGAUGAUUCAAGACUAGCCUUUUUGGGUAAGAUUCUGCUCUUGUGUGAGAAUGGUUUGCUUCAGUUUUGCUCUGAUGUUUCUCUAUCAAUCUAAUUUCAUCUUCAGAUUUCUGCCUCUCAGACUUAAACAUCGACAUUUUAGACUUCCCUUUAUUCUCUACUUCAUCUGCAUAUCUCAAACUUCACAAUUUUCUCUGUGUCUUUUUGGAACUUGUUGAUUGAUUCAACGUGUAUCAGAACUUCACGACUGUGAGGUUUUGGCGUGAGGAUUAAACACGGUGAUAAAUAAAACAAAAAUAGCACAUUUGGCUGCAUCCAUCUAAUCAUGAAAAGAUCAGUUGGCCGUCUUUGCGCGACAGUUUUGUUUUCAUAAGCAAUUUGUGUCUUGAGUUGUCUACAUUCCAUUUUAUCUGUCGAUUUUUCCAAAGAUUGAUGCGUAUAUGUUCUGUUUGUUAUUUAUACGAUCCAUGCUCUGUUUGCCCGAUAAUAAAGCUUUUUUUUCUCUUUGGACAUGUGAAACGAAGAAGACGAUUCAGGAUUACCUGGAGAUAAAAGCUUGGGAAUUGAUGCAAGAAAUGCAGAUGAUCAAGUGAAAGCAAUCUGAUGAAAGCCAAAUCUCAAUAAUUGCGACUAGUAGAUUAAUAGCUCAAUGACCUUGGCUUGUCAAUGCCUUUUUAAUGUCAAAGAAAUUUUAGUAAAAUUUGCUUACAUCUCUUUUC